rnacentral:lncRNA from 1 species
UUUUUUUUUUUUUUAGAUUCCACAUACAGGUGAUAUCAUAUGAUGUCUAACUUCACUUAGUAUGAUUAUUUCUAGGUCAAUCCAUGUUGUUGCAAAUGGCAUUAUUUCAUUCUUUUUUUCUGGCUGGGUAAUAUUCCAUUGUAUAUAUGUACCACAUUUUCUUUAUCCAUUCCUCUGUUGAUGGACAUUUAGGUUGCUUCCAUGUCUUGGCUAUUGUAUAUUGUGCUGCAAUGAACAUCAGGGUGCAUAUAUUUUUUGAAUUAUGGGUUUCUCUGGAAAGAUGCCCAAGAGUGGGAUUGUUGGGUUAUAUGGUAGAGAAAUGCAAAUCAAAACUGCCAUGAGGUACCACCUUAAACUGGCCAGAAUGGCCAUCAUCAAAAAGGCUACAAAUAACAAAUGCUGAAGAGGGUGUGGAGAAAAGGGAACCCUCAGACACUGUUGGUAGGAAUAUAAAUUGGUAUAACCACUAUGGAAAACAGUAGAGAGCUUCCUAAAAAAUUUUAAAGUAGAAAUUCUUCCAUUUUUAUUUGUUUACUUACUUAUAGCACACCUCGCCACCUGUGGCAAAGUGGGGUCCUGGGACCUUUUCUGUUUGCCUUCCUGCUACAUCCUUAGUGACUAGAAUAGAGCAGUGCACAUUUUUGGAAAAAAUGUAGAUUAGGCAAGAGCCAAAUUAGUGCCUUUCAUGAGACCAGUUUCAAAAACAACCAAAAAACCCAAGGUUAAAGCCAAACUGCAUCAAGUUAUGGAGAGGAAAAGGAGACAGGAGUUUGAGAUAAAGGUAUUCAACCCACACAGCACACACCCUGAGGGGGAGAAAUUGUUGAUAACAGAAUCUCCAUAUAUCACACCUUCUAGAAGAGCUACCUUUCCAGAAUGUGAAGAUAAAACAUUUUCACUGGCUCACAUCUUAUUUCUUCUACUGAGAGUUCUCCCAAAGAAAAAUCUAACCCACACCCAUCAUGCCUAAAAUGCUUGCUUAACAUCGUAAUACACUUUUUAAAAAAAAAUCAGGUAGAACAAAAAUGUCAAUUACUGUAAGUUCUAUGCUAUAUAUAUAUAUAUAUAUGUAUGUAUGUGUGUGUGCAUAUAUGUAUGUAUGUGUGUGUGUGUGUGUGUGUACUUUAAGAACAUGUCACACUUAGGUACUCACAGCCCCCAGUGUACACUAGCAGAGAAAUUCCUUCAAAGAUGUCAAGUACCAGAGCUCAUUCUUCCUGCAGUUUCCUGUGGUUGUACAUGUCACCUUCAGGCCUUGCUUUCAGAAGUCUGUCAUCUCAGAAUGACAGAGGGGGCAUCACAAAGUACCAUUGUGCUGAGAGGAAGAGUAGUGUUUCUUUAAGAAUCUGGAGGGGGGUGAAGCUAAGGGAGGAUUUAUAUAACAUCUCUAAGUCAAAGGCUUUGCUAGAGUCUAAGAAGUCGUUUUUUUCCCCUCUGCUCCUGCCAGAUCCAUCCAGCACUUCUCCUGCAGCAGCUGAGGAGCCCAAGGCUUCACAGGAGCUGACAUCUUGUGGCUGCUGGCCAGGCAGGGCAAAGCAGUUACCAUGGUUCUCCUGCUCUGUGGCUAGAACAAUACACUACUUUGGAAUUUGUUUGCCCCUUCCUUAAGGAAAACAGAGCAACGGCAAAAAGAUAAAAGCGGGAGCAAGCAGAGAAAGACUAGGUAGGAAAAGGUCAAAUUAAGUGGGUAGCAAGAGCCACCAAGUUCAGCCAGCCCAGCUCAAACGAUGAUGGAGGAGGCCGCCCAACAGGGAGCAAUUAGUUGAGACAUUCAUGCUGCCAUGUUUAAGUCAAAGCACAGGUAAUGGUAGUAUAAACUGCUAAAAAACAAACCUACACAAAGUAAACGUGUGAUCUAGAAAUUUGUUUCAGGCAAAAGUCUCUUCUGAGUCCAUUCUCAAAGCCACAAGUGACAUGUGCUAAAAGACCCCCUUGGCCUGUGCCCUGACACCUGAACUAGUGAGAUUUGUAUUAAGUUGAGUUUGAGAGCUUGAUGGCACAAAUGACCAUCAAUUACUAGGCCCAGCUUUUUGUGAGCAAGUGAGCUUUAGAAGGUCAGGGCUCACCUAAUUUAGUUACAAGGAGCGUUCUCUAGCAGGACAAAACAAGUGUUUUGAGAAAAGGGAGAUAAUUUAAUUGAAGGUCCAAGAAGCAGCAGCAUUCUUCACGUUGUCAAGCUCAAAGGGAGACUUCGGAGUGGGUACAUAGCCGAUGAGGAAAGGAAGGUGCAGUUCCAGUGCAGCAGAGGUCAUUUCAAUUAGUCAGUGAGGGUGGGAAAAUCCCAGGCUUAUUGUGGAUCCACUAUUAACAAACUUCCUGAGCUAAAAAAUUUUACAGCUUCUAAUAUAGCAUUUACAAAUCCUGAGUGUCAAACCACCUGAGUUAACACAGCCAAAUAAGUGACUCUCCCUCUCAUCUGAAUGUUCUCAUCUGCAAAGAACGGUAGCCAGGCAAAGGUCUCUAAGGUGGCUUCACAGACUAAGAUUCCAAGUUGAUGGUCAAGAGAGGCUGGUCACAGACGGCCCAUUGGGGAAUUGAGAGCCACGAUCACAGAAGGGGCAGCAUCUGGAGGACAGGAUUUCCUUCAACAGGAACCAGAGGCCAGAAGGAAUCUGUGGGAGUCAGGAAGGAGGCGUCCGCCAGGUGAGCGCAGAACAAAGCAACUUAUGCUUUAUGCCUCCAUAGGAAACUGCCUCCCUGGGCCGGUCCUAGGGUCCUCCCUCCAGAAGGCUGGGACCUAGGGGAGUGUGCUGAGCUAAGGAUUCAAGGAUGCUGUUAUCAAGCCCCAGAAAUAGAGGUUGAAUGGGGGAGGUUGAACUCAGCCACCUGAAGCGCUGAUUGGAUCACCAAACAUCAGAUUACAUCUUCAAUUAUACACAAGGAGCCUAACAGCAACCGGUAAACCUGGGACCAAACUCAGCAGGACACUGCAACUCAGAAUAAAAGAAUAGCAAGCAAAAUACUAAGGGCAUAGGGAAGCCACUUAGAUCCAACUGGCAACAAGCUACUGAAGCUAAAACCCCAUCGUCCAAAUGGUUAUACAAUUCGCAGCCUCCAAAGAACUGAUUACUCUUCUGGGUCACUUGCUAAAAUUAACACAUCUAAAGGGUGGGAGAGAGCAAGAGCUCACGCAAAUUUUCAAAGACACACCCUCUGCAGAUGUUAUAAAAGUUUCCAUGGAUUAGAUGGGCAUAUUAGCCAGAAUUUGAGAAACAGCAAAAAUAAAUCAUCAUGGGGAAAGAAAAAAAGUUCGUAACAAGGGAAUUUUUUGAACUUUUAUAAAAUUUAACAUUCAAAAUUUAACAUGAUACCUUUCUUUGCCCAGUUAAACUGAGUAUAUAACCUUCAACUUCAUAAUUAUCACAGCUGUUAGGGCAAAAGAACUAGAUAUUAAAUAUUUCUAAAAGUUGCUGGAUAAAAUGUGAACUGUUAUACCUCAUCUUCAAGGAAGUCAUUAAAAUUUGAAGUAUGUUCAUCCCUCAUCCAGAAAUUCCACCCUUUGGAAUCUAUGUCAUAAAGAUGAAAGUAUCAAUAAAAAAGGACAUGUGGACAAGGACGUCUAGUGAGUACUCAUCCACAGGGAAGUGGCUUGAUCCACAUCCAUUUAUUUAUUUAUUUAUUGUCUUUUUGCUAUUUCUUGGGCCGCUCCUGUGGCAUAUGGAGGUUCCCAGGCUAGGGGUCAAAUCGGAGCUGUAGCCACCAGCCUACACCAGAGCAACAGCAACGCGGGAUCCCAGCCGCGUCUGCAACCCACACCACAGUUCACGGCAAUGCCAGAUCGUUAACCCACUGAGCAAGGGCAGGGACCGAACCCGCAACCUCAUGGUUCCUAGUGGGAUUCGUUAACCACUGCGCCAUGACAGGAACUCCCCACAUCCAUUUAUUAAAGGACUUUUUAAAUGACUUUAUUAAAGCUUGUGUGUGUGCAUGUAUGUGUAGGGUUGUAUGAGUACAGAAAAAUGUGUAAGUAUGUACACCAGAUCAAUGAUUCUCAAACAUUAGCACACGUCAGAAUCACAUGAAGGUUUUGUUAAAGCCAGUAUGUGGGCCUCUCCCUCAGAGUGUCUGAUUCAGUAGGUCUGUGGACAUGUCUGAAAAUUUGUAUUUCCAAUAAGUUUCAAGAGGAUGCUAAUGCUGCUGAGAACAACUACAAUAGAUCUGUGCAAGAUAACAUAAACAUCUUUUCUAUAUGAUUCUUUUUACGGAUCGUGUGUGUGCGCGCGCAUACAUGUGCGUGCAAGCGCGUGCACAGAUAUGCAAAAAUAAAUUCCUGAAAGGACUGUCUUCAAAAUAUUAAUGAAAACUCUUCCAAAGGUAGAAUUUGAAGUGAUCUUUACUUUCCUCUUGGUAAUUUCUCUUUCUUUUUUUAUUUUUGCAUUUUAGGGCCGCACUUGUGGCAUACGGAGGUUCCCAGCCUAGGGGGCGAAUCAGAGCUGUAGCCACCUGCUUGCCACAGCCACAAUAACACCAGAUCCUUAACCCACUGAGGGAGCCCAGGAAUCCAACCCGCAUCCUCAUGGAUGCUAAUCAGGUUGAUUAACUACUGAGCCAUGACAGGAACGCCUCUUAUUUUUCUUAUAAUGAGCAAGUGUUAUUUAAAUAAUCAUUUAAAAUAAAGCUAUUUUAUUGAGAAAAAAAGAACCUUUGGAAACCAACAAUUUCUCAAGCAAAAGCUCUUCUGUUUUAUUCACAGCACUGAACUGACAUUUUUGGGAAGAUGAAUGCUAGUUACACUUAAUAUAAAAAUAAAAGUGUAAUUAAUAUGGAAAAGGAAGUUCUGGGAUGAAGUACAUAAGCAUAGUAUGUGUUUUAUAAACUUCCUUAAUCCACAAAAAUUUAAAGAAAACUCACUUUAAAAAGUAAUCAAAAAAUAACCUAUAAUGGAAUAUAAUUUGCAAAAAAAAAAAAAAAAAACCUGAAUCAGCAUGCUGUAUAUCUGCAACGAACACACUGUUGUAACUCUACUUCAAUUUAAAAAAAAAAUCCACCAGCAAAAACAUAUAAUUUGACUUGUGAAUGUACAAUCACUUUCUCUUUCAAAAUUCAAUCAGCUAUUCAGUAAGCAAAAUCUCUCCUUUUAAGCUGUACUUGCAUCAUUUCCUCUCUUUAUACGCAGACUAGAAAAGAAAAAUAAGACUAAAAAUAAACUGAAAUAAAAAAUAACCUGGGUGAGGGGGGAGGGACUGGGAGUUUGGGGUUAGUAGAUGCAAACUAUUGCAUCUGGAGUGGAUAAGCAAUGAGAUUCUGCCGUAUAGCCCAAAGAACUAUAGCUGAUCACUUGUGAUGGAAUAUGAUGGAGGAUAU